ensembl:lncRNA
GUGUAAUGUAACAGUGUGGACACUAGGUGUAAUGUAACAGUGUGGAUGCCAGGUGUAAUGUAACAGUGUGGACGCCAGGUGUAAUGUAACAUUGUGGACACUAGGUGUAAUGUAACAGUGUGGAUGCCAGGUGUAAUGUAACAGUGUGGACGCCAGGUGUAAUGUAACAUUGUGGACACUAGGUGUAAUGUAACAGUGUGGAUGCCAGGUGUAAUGUAACAGUGUGGACGCCAGGUGUAAUGUAACAUUGUGGACACUAGGUGUAAUGUAACAUUGUGGAUGCCAGGUGUAAUGUAACAGUGUGGACGCCAGGUGUAAUGUAACAUUGUGGAUGCCAGGUGUAAUGUAAGUGUGGAUGCCAGGUGUAAUGUAAGUGUGGAUGCCAGGUGUAAUGUAAGUGUGGAUGCCAGGUGUAAUGUAACAGUGUGGACGCUAGGUGUAGCAAUUGUC